rnacentral:rRNA from 1 species
GACAGAGGGUGCAAACGUUGUUCGGAAUUACUGGGCGUAAAGGGCGCGUAGGCGGCCUCGUAAGUCCUGUGUGAAAUCCCCCGGCUCAACUGGGGAACUGCACAGGAAACUGCGAGGCUUGAGUUCGGGAGAGGGAAGCGGAAUUCCGGGUGUAGCGGUGAAAUGCGUAGAUAUCCGGAGGAACACCGGUGGCGAAGGCGGCUUCCUGGACCGACACUGACGCUGAGGCGCGAAAGCCAGGGGAGCAAACGGG